ACACCCGAGCAGUUGUUUCUAGCAUCUUGAUCUGCACCUCUAGAGAGGUCCAAGUGCAUCGACUCAUGGUUUAGAGUCUGGUGGGCGCCUGUCCAAUUGCCUACGCCAAAUUUGUUCUGGGGACCUUUACAUUUUGACAGAUUUUUAUCCAAGAGUUUCAAAAACUAGAGCGAUACAAUAUGCAGUAGACAUUACUUAUAUAAAAAUUAAAUUGUAGGUCACCAUUUAAGUUGUGUGUUCUUCUUUUUGUAUCGAAGUCCCAUUUUUUUGUAUUUUUCCCCACAAUAUUGAAGAAGAAACUAACGUCCCUAGAUGUAUUUAAUACAAUUAACCGUGGGGCCCAUGCUUAUUCUAUACUAAUUAGCGACUCCCAAGAAAUUACCACGUUAAUCAGUAAUUAGGAGCCGUUAAUCUGGUGGGACCGAAUUAUAACGGUGUAGAUUAACCAGUCUAUUUUAAGCCCUUUAGUAAAAUACGCAAUGCAAUCUAUGUUAAUCUUUGUCCCAAUUCUGUGUAGGUCAUGUCAAGAAAAAAAAUUCUGUGUAGGUCACGACCUCCCCUUCUCUUUCAAAAAAAAUAAAUCUUUCUAAAGCCCACAAUCUUUGAUUGUUGUAAACGUAGAAUACAUGGAAGACUCGAUCCUAAUCUACAUCGUAUUGUGUAGGUCACAAACUCCCCAUCUCCAUCCCCUAAAAAAACUACCCAUCUCCUUCCCCUAAAAACGAACUCCCCAUCGCCUCAUCUCAGAAAAUAAAAAACCCUCUCACACACGCCGCCGCCGCAGCAGAAGCAGCCGCCGUGUUCGCCUCGCUGCAUACAGCUGGUCGAUCAUAGCAAUCUUUCCAUAUGCUUAAUACGUACCCUCAUGCCUUCAAACUUUCCAAGCGCUUAAUCCCCUCAUGCGCUCAAACUUUAUCCGUGCGAUUUCCCAGAUCUUCGUUUCUCUUUGUGUUGUGGCAGCCGUUGUGCGAGUCAGCGUGCUUGAGCGCGUCAGGUUCGGUUUCAAGGUGCAGUGAUGGAGUAUGAUGCUAUUGGCUUGCUGCCUACUUCUAGGCUUGGUUUGGGGCUCCUUCAAGUCUUGAUCCAUGGCUAGAUCUUCGUUCUCUGCGUUGUGGUAGCUGCUGUGAGUUCGGGCCGGAGUAACCCCAUCGCCGGCAAUGCACGGGAUGCAUGGCAGCCUAGAAGCAGGUUCGGUUGUAGAUGACAGGCUCAAAUACAUUCUCGGCCAUAGCAUAAGAACCAAGCAUGUCAUGGAUGCAUGCAUAGAUAUGUACAGGGGUGAAACGUGAUCAGCGAGCCAGGAUGCCAGACGGUUUAAUUAGAAUUGAUAGGCGCAAUCAUAUCUUUCAACUAAUCUAUAUAUCUUCCACUUCCACAUUUAUCUUUUAUUCUGCACCAGAUGGAACUGGAAUCGAUGUAAAAAAUAUUGGGGAUGCUGGUGCUGAAUUAAGUAAGAUGUUUAGGAGAUAUCUGGGUUAGUGGAUAUGCAUCAUAAAUAAUGAAUGCUGACAUGAUGAGUUCUCCUUCACAAUUUGCUCGGAUUUUCAGGUAUUAAGUAAGAUGUUUAGGAGAUAUUUGUGUUAGCGCAUAUGCAUCAUAAAAAAUGUAUGUAUACAUGUUGAGUUCUCCGUCACAAUUUGAUCAGAUUUUCUGGUCUUCGAUGAAGCUCCGGCUAUUUCUUCUUCUGAUAUUCGUUCUUCAUGUAGUUUUCCUCUAUAGUUACUAACCUUCUGUAGUUUUCCUCGAUAGUUACUAACCUAUACAAUAGAUUUUGUACCAUGUUCAUUACCUAAUCAGAUUUGACCUUGACGUACAUGAAGAUUGGAGACAAAGUUGUACAGCAAGACGCAUAAGGAGUUGCUUCUAGCAUGUUGAUCUGUACCUCUGGCGUAGUACAGGUGCAUUGAGUCAUGGUUCAGAGUCUGGUGAGCGCUGAUCCAAUUGCCUACACCAGGUUUGAUCUGGGGACCUUUACAUUUCGACAGAUAUUUCUCCUAGAGUUUCAAAAAGAGGGAUACAAUAUACAAUACACAUUACUUAUAUAUACAAAUUAAAUUGAAGGUCGUCAUUUAAAUUGCGUGUUCUUUUGUUUGCAUUGAAGUCCCAUUUUUUGUAUUUUUUGCAUUAUAUUGAAGAAGAAAGAUAAUAGAUUUUGUACGAUGAUCAUUACCUAAUCAGAUUUGACCUUGGCGUACAUGGAGAUUGGAGACAAAGUUUUACGGCAAGACACCCGAGCAGUUGUUUCUAGCAUCUUGAUCUGCACCUCUAGAGAGGUCCAAGUGCAUCGACUCAUGGUUUAGAGUCUGGUGGGCGCCUGUCCAAUUGCCUACGCCAAAUUUGAUCUGGGGACCUUUACAUUUUGACAGAUUUUUAUCCAAGAGUUUCAAAAACUAGAGCGAUACAAUAUGCAGUAGACAUUACUUAUAUAAAAAUUAAAUUGUAGGUCACCAUUUAAGUUGUGUGUUCUUCUUUUUGUAUCGAAGUCCCAUUUUUUUAUUUUUCCCCACAAUAUUGAAGAAGAAACUAACGUCCCUAGAUGUAUUUAAUACAAUUCACCGUGGGGCCCAUGCUUAUUCUAUACUAAUUAGCGACUCCCAAGAAAUUACCACGUUAAUCAGUAAUUAGGAGCCGUUAAUCUGGUGGGACCGAAUUAUAACGGUGUAGAUUAACCAGUCUAUUUUAAGCCCUUUAGUAAAAUACGCAAUGCAAUCUACGUUAAUCUUUGUCCCAAUUCUGUGUAGGUCAUGUCAAAAAAAAAAUUCUGUGUAGGUCACGACCUCCCCAUCUCCAUCAAAAAAAAAAUCUUUCUAAAGCCCACAAUCUUUGAUGGUUGUAAACGUAGAAUACAUGGAAGACUCGAUCCUAAUCUAGAUCGUAUUGUGUAGGUCACAAACUCCCCAUCUCCUUCCCCUAAAAAAACUACCCAUCUCCUUCC